UGUAUUAAAGCAGAGUCGGCACUCAGAGUGGCACAGACAGAGAGACAGACACCAUGUCUCCAUCCCAGUCCACACUACUACUACUGCUGCUGGUCUCCAGCUCCUGGGCCUCCCACUUCUACGGAGGCACCAUGACCUUCGACCCCAGAGGGAGCAACCCAAACGGAACCUACAGGGUGGACCUUCGCUAUAAGACAGGAUUUCACAGCUGCACCUUUACUGAUACCUGGCUUUGUGUCAGUGGGGACUGUGGGACUCGGACUAGUCUAGCGGUUCAGACAGUGGACCAGGAGAUGUCCGGAGACUGGUGUCAGACAGAGGGACGAAUGACUAGACACGUCUCCAAUAACACACACACUUUUGACCUUCGGAUGAAUGGGGGUUCCUGGAUGUCCACCAUUAAUAAUGUUGUUGGUUGGAGGCUGUUGACUCAUGUGGAUCUCGGGGUCAGGUCUGACACAGGGAAAGUCAACCGAUCUCCACAGACCACCGUCAUACCUCUGAUGCGUCAAUUGUCGAAGAGAUUUCAACAUGUUGUCCUUUGACCCAGAUGGGGAUGAGGUCUGAUGCAGAUAUGCAGUACCAACAGAUGAGUGUGUCACAUCUAGUAACCUUGCCGGUGUUAACUUCACUCUGCGAUGGUCGACCCCGUGGCGCCGUCCUGUACGGAGGGGGUGUACCUACCCAUGUUCCAGUCUCCGACGCCAGCCCAGGGUGCACUGCUCUACGCCUCCGCAGACCAUCCCCUGGAGAUCAGUGUCAGAGCACAGGCUACCCACUCCACGGUUUCAGAGCUGUUGAUGAGUGGACCUGGCAACAUCAGAGAGAACACCACUAGCCCAUGAGAGUACCUUCUAAGAUGGACGCCUACUGAUGAUGAGGAGGGAGGGUACUAUCCUGUGUGCUUCAUUGCUCAGGGAGUGCUCGGCAGUUCCAGGUAUCACUCCGAGCUGCGCUGUGUGAUCGUCAGUGUUAACUCAAGUGAUGCCAUUACAACCACACCGGUUCCAACUACCUUUCCAACUACCACCCAACCAACUAGUGACUUCACAACAUUCAGUACAAACCCAACCCCCGAUCUCACAACCAACAAUGUGGAUAACACAACAAUGAGAAAUGGGCCGAGAUACACUUUUGGACUGAGGAUGAAACUCUCCUCUCUGACAUCAUUAACAGAUGAUGACAUCAGAGGAACGGUCUUACAGAAGCUCCGUGAGGAACUGAUCAGACGAGGGCAGUCAAGGGACGUCACACUACGCCUGAGAGCCAGUAAAGAGAUCAGCCCCUGAGGGAGUUUCUUGCACUCACUGAUUCUGCAGACAGUGGUUCUUCUUCUUCUGAAAAACAAGAGUUUACUUGACUGUACAUGGUUGAUGCAUGUGCCACAGUGGAGGCUAAUGAGGGGAGGACGGCUCAUAAUAAUGUCUGGAAUGGAGUGUAAUGUCUGGAAUGGAGUGUAAUGUCUGGAAUGGAGUGUAAUGUCUGGAAUGGAGUGUCAUGUCUGGA